rnacentral:tmRNA from 1 species
GGGGGUGUUCCGGAUUCUACCCUUGGUCGGAGUGUGCCGCCGCCUGUCGAGAGUCGCGGGUCUCUCGCUAAAACCCCUGCGAAAACACAAACGGCAACACUGAAGAGAUGCCCCUGGCCGCCUAAUGACGGCCACGUCGGUCCCGUGACACCUGCUAGCGGGAACCGGCGUCGACAGCAGGCAUGGCGCGCGGAGCGGUCCGCGGACCGCGCGCAGUACCUUCAAUCCGGGGACUGGCUGGUGCCCAAGCGCGUGCGACGGCAUGGCACCGGCGAGAUCGAAGUCGCGCUACACAGGUAGAAGCGGUGCAGGAAGGUCAGGGGCACGCGGGUUCAACUCCCGCCACCUCCACCA